rnacentral:rRNA from 1 species
CAGUCGCCGCGGUAAUACGUAGGUCCCGAGCGUUGUCCGGAAUUAUUGGGCGUAAAGGGCUCGCAGGCGGUUUCUUAAGUCUGAUGUGAAAGCCCCCGGCUCAACCGGGGAGGGUCAUUGGAAACUGGGAAACUUGAGUGCAGAAGAGGAGAGUGGAAUUCCACGUGUAGCGGUGAAAUGCGUAGAGAUGUGGAGGAACACCAGUGGCGAAGGCGACUCUCUGGUCUGUAACUGACGCUGAGGAGCGAAAGCGUGGGGAGCGAACAGGAUUAGAUACCCCUGUAGUCCCUGUCUCUUAUAU